rnacentral:rRNA from 1 species
UACGUAGGGGGCAAGCGUUGUCCGGAUUUAUUGGGCGUAAAGAGCGUGUAGGCGGCCAUACAGGUCAGCUGUGAAAACUCGAGGCUCAACCUCGAGACGUCGGUUGAAACCACCUGGCUAGAGUCCGGAAGAGGAGACUGGAAUUUACGGUGUAGCGGUGAAAUGCGUAGAUAUCGUAAGGAAGACCAGUGGCGAAGGCGGGUCUCUGGACAGUUCCUGACGCUGAGGAGCGAAAGCGUGGGGAGCGAACAGG